AACGAACGCUGGCGGCAGGCCUAACACAUGCAAGUCGAGCGCCCUCGCAAGGGGGAGCGGCGGACGGGUGAGUAACGCGUGGGAACGUGCCUCUUGCUUCGGAAUAGCCCGGGGAAACUGGGAGUAAUACCGAAUGUGCCCUACGGGGGAAAGAUUUAUCGGCAAGAGAUCGGCCCGCGUUGGAUUAGGUAGUUGGUGGGGUAAUGGCCUACCAAGCCGACGAUCCAUAGCUGGUUUGAGAGGAUGAUCAGCCACACUGGGACUGAGACACGGCCCAGACUCCUACGGGAGGCAGCAGUGGGGAAUCUUAGACAAUGGGCGCAAGCCUGAUCUAGCCAUGCCGCGUGAGCGAUGAAGGCCUUAGGGUUGUAAAGCUCUUUCGUGGGGGAAGAUAAUGACUGUACCCCAAGAAGAAGCCCCGGCUAACUCCGUGCCAGCAGCCGCGGUAAUACGGAGGGGGCUAGCGUUGUUCGGAAUUACUGGGCGUAAAGCGCACGUAGGCGGACUGGAAAGUCAGAGGUGAAAUCCCAGGGCUUAACCUUGGAACUGCCUUUGAAACUCCCAGUCUUGAGGUCGAGAGAGGUGAGUGGAAUUCCGAGUGUAGAGGUGAAAUUCGUAGAUAUUCGGAGGAACACCAGUGGCGAAGGCGGC
rnacentral:rRNA from 1 species